rnacentral:lncRNA from 10 species
ACUCUCGCAGGCUGCCAGUCUGUGCGCUGGUCUGUCCGUCCGUCCGAAUCCCUCCGUCCCACCAGCAAUGCAGCGUCCCUCUUCCGGUCUUCUGUGCCCACAGUCCUCUCCCACUCUGUGCCCCUGGCCGCUUCGCUCGGCCAACUCUGCAGAGACAAUCCCACAAUAAUAACACCUCGCCCCACCCGAAUGAAUCCGUAGCCUCAGCGCUCUUGGAGAUUCUUUGCUUUGAGCAAGACUGAAAGUCCGAACGUGCAGCACCAAGUGUACUCCCUGUGGGUGACUGCCCAGACCGCUGCCCACCUGAUCGCUGAUUUGGAAUCACAGAGGUGCCACAGAAACCUGGGCAGGGUAGGACCUGGGGAAGGAACAGAGUUGACACCUGAAGAAAUAAAAGCCUUGAUUUUAC